GCCCAACUAGCUUAGUCGGUAGAGCAUGAGUCUCUCAAUUUCAGGACCAUGGGUUUGAGCCCCAUGUUGGGCA